rnacentral:rRNA from 1 species
UUGACGCUGGCGGCAGGCCUACACAUGCAAGUCGAGCGGUAACANGNGAAAGCUUGCUUUCUUGCUGACGAGCGGCGGACGGGUGAGUAAUGUAUGGGGAUCUGCCCGAUAGAGGGGGAUAACUACUGGAAACGGUGGCUAAUACCGCAUAAUGUCUACGGACCAAAGCAGGGGCUCUUCGGACCUUGCACUAUCGGAUGAACCCAUAUGGGAUUAGCUAGUAGGUGGGGUAAAGGCUCACCUAGGCGACGAUCUCUAGCUGGUCUGAGAGGAUGAUCAGCCACACUGGGACUGAGACACGGCCCAGACUCCUACGGGAGGCAGCAGUGGGGAAUAUUGCACAAUGGGCGCAAGCCUGAUGCAGCCAUGCCGCGUGUAUGAAGAAGGCCUUAGGGUUGUAAAGUACUUUCAGCGGGGAGGAAGGNGAUAAGGNUAAUACCCUUAUCAAUUGACGUUACCCNCAGAANAANCACCGGCUAACUCCNUGCCAGCAGCCGCGNNAAUACNNNANGGNGCAAGCNUUAAUNNGAAUUACUGGG